CACCCACACGUCGCGGAAGCGCACCUUCGCGUUCGGCACGAAGUAGAACACCAGGCCGACGACGACAAUGAAGAGCAGCGUGGUGGCGUUCCCGACGGCGAUGCUGCGCAGCACCGUGAGCCCGGGGAACUGGGCCACGACGCCCGCAAACCAGGUGCUGCCGACCACGCCGGCGGCCGACACGAGGAGCAGCGCCACGAGCAGCACGAGCCCCGCGACGACCAGCAUCAGGAACGAGAAGAGCUUGUGCUUCCAGAAGCUGCGCGUCUUCUCCACACCCCAUGCGUAGUUGACUGCCGUGCUGAUGGCGCCGAACACGCCGAGCGCGCCCCAGACGCUCGCCAGCGUUCCGGCGACCCCGAGCGUCAGCCUCGCCGACCUGAACGAGUCGAGCUGGCGCGUGAUGAAGUCGAACUGCU
rnacentral:misc_RNA from 1 species